rnacentral:rRNA from 1 species
CCUACGGGGGACAGCAGUGAAGAAUAUUGGUCAAUGGACGAGAGUCUGAACCAGCCAAGUAGCGUGAAGGAUGACUGCCCUAUGGGUUGUAAACUUCUUUUAUAAAGGAAUAAAACGAGGCACGUGUGCCUUUUUGCAUGUACUUUAUGAAUAAGGAUCGGCUAACUCCGUGCCAGCAGCCGCGGUAAUACGGAGGAUCCGAGCGUUAUCCGGAUUUAUUGGGUUUAAAGGGAGCGUAGAUGGGUUGUUAAGUCAGUUGUGAAAGUUUGCGGCUCAACCGUAAAAUUGCAAUUGAUACUGGCAGUCGUGAGUACAGUUGAGGUAGGCGGAAUUCGUGGUGUAGCGGUGAAAUGCUUAGAUAUCACGAAGAACCCCGAUUGCGAAGGCAGCUUACUAAACUGUGACUGACAUUGAUGCUCGAAAGUGUGGGUAUCAAACAGGAUUAGAUACCCCUGUAGUC